rnacentral:rRNA from 1 species
UACGGAGGAUGCAAGCGUUAUCCGGAAUGAUUGGGCGUAAAGCGUCCGCAGGUGGCUAUGUAAGUCUGCUGUUAAAGAGUCUGGCUCAACCAGAUAAAGGCAGUGGAAACUACAUGGCUAGAGUGCGUUCGGGGCAAAGGGAAUUCCUGGUGUAGCGGUGAAAUGCGUAGAGAUCAGGAAGAACACCGGUGGCGAAAGCGCUCUGCUAGGCCGCAACUGACACUGAGGGACGAAAGCUAGGGGAACGAAUGGG